rnacentral:lncRNA from 1 species
GCGGCAUUUCGUGGCGUUAGAAAAACUGAAAAAAGUAGGCUCCGGGCAUUUCCCAUCUUGGCACAGUGAAAACGAAUACGACGGGAGAACGUGAGGUUGCGAAACCUGGGUGAAGGCUCUGGCCUUGCUGUGAGCUGUGGUGUAGGUCGCAGAUACGCUGGGGUCUGGCGUGGCUGUGGUGUAGGCCGGCGGCUGUAGCUCCGGUUGGACCCUUCGACCCCCAGCCUGGGGACCGCCAUGUGCCUCGGGUGCGGCUCUAGAAAGCAAAAAAGCAGGCUCCAGGGUUGUCUUGCCGCCUGGCGGGGGGCGAGGGCGCCUCCAGUUCGCCUUUCCACAGAUAACACGUAGGACUGGGGCUAGUGGGCACCCCUGCCUCCUCCCGCUCCUCCCUUCGCUGGCCGCUCCUACGACUGUGGGGCGGGGCAUCGCUUCGGAGACUGGGGGACACGGGGCGCAGUGGCCUGGACUCCGGAGAGCAGAGGCCGGACAGGCCUGCACCCUUAGGAACCCAAGGAGGCAGUGAGCUGGAUCCUCGGGAACACUGGGACCAGUGACCCGCAGGCUGGAGGAUGGAGUCGGACCGCGCGGACAGUGUUCUGGCUUCUAAGUGGGUGCUGGUUGCCUCUAGCUCACCGUACCUUAAACAUAGUUAUUUUACCAGCAAAAGGGCUUUAUUCAGGAGUAGAAAGGAAUGGCAAUUUGGGACGUACAGUUUGACGAGAGUAUAACCACGUGGGGCAAACAGAGGAAGUGAGAAGGGCUGCUUCCAAGAAGGUCCAUGGGAGGAAAGCGAGAGUGGUGGGGAGGGUUCCAAUUGGCUGGAUGACGGUGGCUUCUCAUUGGCUGAGCAGCAGUGGUCUCCCCUUGGCUGAGCUGUUGCCACCGCGGAAUCUUCCCUCCCUGGCUGGUCUGCGGAGGGGCUGAGAGGUACUUCCCUGAGGGCUCCAGCUUCCGCCUCCAGCCUCCAUCUUUUUUCCCUUUUUAGGGCAGUGCCUGCUGCGCAUGGCAAUUCCCAGGCUAGCGGGCCUACACCACAGCCACAGCAACGUGGGACCCCAGCCGCCUCUGUGACCUACACCACGCUCAUGACUCGGCAAUGCCGGAUCUUUAACCCACUGAGCGGUGCCAGGGUUUGAACCCGAGUCCUCAUGGAUACUAAUCAGUUGGUUAGCCCCUGAGCCAGGGCAGGAACUCCUCCAGCCUCCGUCUUAAAUGAGGUUCCUAUUCCUAAUUGUCACACUAAUUGGGGAGUCCUGAAUCCUCUGUCAAUUAAAAACGCUUUGAAAUGGAAUCAGCACAUGGCAUGUCUCCCAUGCAGACUGACGGGAGCUCCAAGCGAGCCCCUGGUCUCUGGGUGGAGCUGGAGGAAGGUUGCGGGAAAGGACUGCAGCCCCUUGACAGUUUGAGGGUACUUGGCACCUGCAACGUGGCGGGAGGGAGGGAGAAGGUGAGCCUCCCUGAAUGGCAGGAUCAAGCCAGAACUGAACCCGCAUGCGUGAGAGCCGCACCAGGGUUUCUUUUCCUUGCUGCAGGGGAGUUUUCCUGAGGCUCCACACCAGUGAGUCUGCAGGUCCACCGGUCUGGCUUCCGUGGCGGAGGUCUCUCCAGCGCCCUUCACCCGUACCCCUGGGCCACGGCUCCCCGGACAAGCGGGCUCUGUCGGGCGGGACCUUGCUCUCCCACAAGCGGGCUUCACACCACAGACACAGCCAGCUUUCAAAACCUGAAUUAGGUGAAGCUGUUUACAGCAAAUGGUUUUCGUAUAGUCAUCGUUCCUGAAUCGAGUUUUUAGUUUACAUCACCUUAGUUAGAGAAAUACUUUUUUCUGAGCAUAAUGGAGUAGCCAUAUCUGUUAUUUUUGAUUCUUUCCCCCCAUAGAUUGCCUUUUAAAAAGUACAGUGAUUUAAAAAUGUGCUUGUGGCGUUGCCACUGCGGUGCAGGGAUUGGCGGCAGCAUCUCUGGAGCACUGGGACACAGGUUCGAUCCCUGGCCCAGCACAGUGGGUUGGGGAUCCAGCGCUGUUGCAGCUGUGGCUUAGGUCACAACUAUGGAUCAGAGCUGAUCCCUGGCUUGUGAGCUCUGGGGCCGGGGCAGAGAGCAGCCAAAAAAAGAAAUAAAUGACAUUAAGAAAAUGUACUUGUAAGUCCAUAAUUACGGAUAAUAAAAGUUUUGUAAAGUCAACAAAUUAGUAUCUCGUCUUCACUCUAUAGUUUCAGUACUCUCUUAGUGUCUCCUGACCUCGGUACACUCUUAUGAUUUGUUUUCUAUCUUGGGCACAGGAGACAGGUAUACUUACUAAUUUUUCUCAAACACGACAUUUUGUGCAUUGCCUGGACACAUACAUUUUUUAAAUGAAGUUUUAGGGUUUAAGUCGUGUGUCUCGAUUGUGGCUUCAGGGUCCUCCAGGCAGAGGGCUUCUUUGUGGGUCAGGGAGGUGCUUCCACCGUGGUGGUUUGCUGACCUGGGCUCAGUCAGGUGGGUUUUGGCCUCCACAGGUGGCACUGACGUGGGUCCCACUAAGGCAGAGGCUGGGGCGGACGCCAUCAGAGCAGACGCCCAAUGAGGACGAAGACAUUUGCUUUGCCCUUUGCAAGGCAGCUCCAGCUGGUAAGGGGGGUUUCCGGCCCAGCAGGUGGUGUGGGAAGGGCCAAGGAGUGAGGCCUGGCAGCCACAGACUGACCAGCAGCAGGGAGUGGCACCUCCCAAUGCGGGCACCUCCAGACCAAGUGGGGGUGGGGGAGUCUCAGGGCGGCUUCCUGGAACCUAACCUGCCUCGCAGCCAGCACCGCCUUGUGUCCUGGGCGGACUGACCACACCAGGCUGGGGGCCACACAGCAGAGAGCAAAACCACUCUGAAAGAGGAGGGCAGGGUCCCUCCUGCCCCUUGCAGCUGCCCAUUCUGUUGUCACCUGUGCCCUCGUCUUCUCUCCCAUCAGGGCACCCAGGUCAGGGCCCACCGUCCUCCAGUAGAGACUCGUCCUAACCUGAUCACGUCUGCAAAGACCCCAGGGUUAGGGCACACCGACCCACAGCUGCGGGGUAACGGGCGCUGCCGGAACCAGGGCUGCUGCUCGGGGAGUGUGCCCGGCUUCUGACCGCGGCGGGUGGGAGACAGGAGACCUCGGUGGGCAGUGGGCUGUAGGGCUGAGGGGCCCCAUCUCAGGGAGGAAGUGACAGGGCCCCCUGCCCAGGACCUAACCCCUGUGCUGCCGGCCUCGGCCCUCGAAAACCGUGCUCAGGAGACAAGUGUUGGUAGAAACGGAGGCAGUUGCUCUGGUCAGAAGCCGACACUCUGGGGAGGAGGCGGGCUCAGGGUCCCCAAACCAACCAGGAAGAUUCUGCCGUGGAAGUUUUCAAGGGCGACGGGAGGUGACGUCCGUUAAUCGUGGAGCCAGGAGGGCAGCGUCCCCCACGGGCGGCCGGCUUGUUCCCUCUCCUGAGCUUCCUGAGAUGCUGUCCUGUCCCACAGCUUGUUCGCCUUUCGAGACUCUGCCCAAGGGGAGCUGUGGGAAAGGUCCGGUCCUCUGUGCCUCACUUACUCUGCAUUCGUGCUUCUCUCAUCUAGAAGAGAACCGAUCGUUCAGCAAAAGGCGCCGUGUGACCCGGAGACUUGCCGGGUGUCCUAAGGCCAGAGCUGAGCAGGGCCUGGGGGCGCCUGGCUUCAGGGUGGUGGCCAGACAGGAGGGCCUGCUGCAGAGAGCUCCUUCCUGCCCAAAGCUCCUGACCCCUGCAUCAUCUCAAGAUUCUUCCUUCUGGGACCUUCUCUCAACUGGCUUCAGUCCAGCCUCGCAGGCCACGGCCUUCCUCUCUGACGUGAUGAGGACAGAGCUGACCAUUGCAGAAGCAGAAACCCCUACACACUCUGUGGGAUGGGUGUUUGUGGUGAGGAAACAGACUCGGGGGAGCAGGGUACACUGCCAGAGAGACAGCCAGGAGGGAGUCAGGGCCCGGGUUGGACGCGGCCACCUCCAGAGCCUGGUACCUCCUGGCUCUCCCUGCAGGUGCAGCCCCACCAGCCUCCUCUCAAAUGGUUCUCCUCUAACUAGAAAAAGCGCAUCUUGGAGUUGCUGUCGUGGCUCAGUGGGUUAGGAACCCAACGUAGUCUCCAUGACGAUGGGGUUUGAUCCCUGGCCUGGCUCAGUGGGUUAAGGAUCCGGCGUUGCCGUGAGCUGUGGUGUAGGUUGCAGACGUGGCUCGGAUCCCGAGUUGCUGUGGCUGUUGUGUAGGCCGGCAGCUACGGCUCCAAUUAGACCCCUAGCCUGGGAACCUCCAUAUGCCGUGGGUGCGGCCCUAGAAAAGGUGAAAAGACAAAAAAAUUAAAACAAAUAAAAUAAAAUAAAAUAAAAUAAAAUACGACCGUUCACCAUGUUAAGAAUGACAGACUUUUAUGUAACAAAUAGGAAGCUGGUUGACUUUGAAGCCCCGUGCAUGGUAAGUGUGUCGCUGUAGCAGGAUUUCCAUAAACUCCUUGUAUCACCAUCUUCUUGGUGUUUUUAUUAAAAAGGCGACACCUACGUCCCUGGAUCUCCUCGCUCCUGCUAAGAGGGUCUCAUCCCGCCCAGGCGCCUUCGCUGGAGUCGCCUCCCGGGGCCGCGUGGAGACGUGGACACCAGGCCUCAGGGUUCCGGAGGCUGACGCCUGGGGUCAAGGCGCCGGCGGGCCCGGAGGCCUCCUCCUGGGCCUCAGGCCGCUUCUUCACCUGUGCCCUCAGUGGUGACGGGCCAGGGAGUCCUGGGGUCCCUUCUGUGAGGUCCCGACCCCCAUCACGAGGCUCCAUCCUGUGACCCAUCACCUUCCAGAGCGCCUCCCAGCGCCAUCCCCGGGGAGGCUUUGAUCCGUGGGCUUGAGGGAACAGACACUGAGUCUCAGGCAGAACGUGAGCUCCACUGACGUUAUCCAGCCCUCGCACGCACGCUCUCUACUGAAGUAUUUGUUUUUCUCAAAGUGUUGUGAGUCUGGGAGUUCCCAUGUGGCUUAGUGGUAAUAAACUUGACUAGCAUCCAUGAGGACACGGGUUUGAUCCCUGGCCUCUCUCAGUGGGUUAAGGAUCUGGUGUUGCCGGGAGCUGUGGUAUAGGUCGCAGACGUGGCUCAGAUCCCGAGUUACUGUGGCUGUGGUGUAGACCAGCGGCUACAGCUCCAAUUUGACCCCUAGCCUGGGAACCUCCAUAUGCUG